UGUGUCUGAUUGCAUAUUCGGAAACAAUCUGAGACGCUGUGACAUUUAUUUCUUCUGGUUUAGUCAAAUUCAGAUUAAUGUUGUUUACAACACAGACAGCAGAAAAUCCAGGUGGAGGAGUUUCAGUUUCUGACACUGUGGUCUCAAUAUCUUUAGAACGAGGAACUGAACUCUCCAUACCUCCUGAACCACACCCUGAUCACAAGCACUUGGUGCUAAUGGGCUAGGGGUUAGGCUUUUGGAGUUAAGGGGUUAGGGGUAGAGAAUAUGAGUUAGGCAGUAGGAAAUUACCUCUGUUACACUGUUGGUAGACUUGAAAUGUGGAGUUUGUGGAAUAUCAGUAAGACUGUAAUUCCCAGAAUGCACUGCAUGAGAUGAGAGUGAGGAGGGUACAGGAUUCUCUGCAGUGCCAGUGUACACCUCAGAGCUCUGGACUCGAAACUUUACAUUCUGAAACCCUGCAAGACAGAAUUGUGUCCAUAGCACAUUAUCAGUCUUACCCUGUGUGUGUCUGUCUGUCUGUCUGUCUGUGUGGUCACUUCUUCCAUAAGGCAUGUGUUGAGCCAUGGCUGAUGGAUCACAGGACCUGCCCGAUGUACGUGUGACAUCCUCAAAUCCCUCAGAGUAGAGGUGAGGUGUGUGCGUAAAUGGAUUCAUGAGAGUUUCUCAUCUCUCUAGAGACAGAUGUUGAGGAGCAGCACAUGUAGACGGUCACUUCUGCUUUGCGUUCGUUUCCCAGCAGCACUGAGUACUUUCACACACACUGUGACUCAGUCUCCAGCAUACACCCCAACUCCGAGUCUCUCACACAGCGAUGCUGCCUUUUCUGGAUAUGAAUCUCUGCAUACAACAGAGCAGCUGGGUCCUGCUGACCACACACAUGAAGGUGAGAAGUGCGCGUGCACACACACACUGUAUUUCAGCCUGCCUUGCUGAAUUCCAGAAGCUGCUGCUAAUAAGCUAGUUUGUUCACUGUGUGUGUGUGUGUGUGUGUGGAGGGGUGGGUGGGUGGAUGGGGUAUUAUUUUGGAAGCACACACCUGUAUUUGGACUAAACAUACUAGCAUGACCACAAAAAGAUUCAAGAUUGUGGCUCAACUGACGAGAGGCCAUAAGGUUUGUGAGAACGCUGAUAUUCUUGUCCUGGGUUCGAUGGAAACAUGGUGUCAGGACGUGCGCUGGUCUGUCAAUACAGUUCCCUCUGAAGCCCAGGAUUUGUUUUUACUAUACACUGAAGACAUUUGGGUUUGAGAUAUGUCGGUCAUUUUUAGGACAUUCCAAACAUGUUCCAAUAUUUUUGAUCAUUUGAAAAAUGGGUAGGUUUAAACACAAGGUGCCAUAUUUUAAGUUGUUUGACCAGAAUUUCAUUUCCUAAUAUUUACAUCUAAAUUUGUUAAUCAACUCCUAUUCAUCGUUUGAUCUCGAGCACAAAUGUUUCCAGUAUAUAGCAAACCAAAAUAAUUGUCCUUGCUGUUCUAAUACUUUUCUCCAUAUAAUGGGAAUAGCUCAGCAGCGGUGUUCUUCACAGUGGCUGACAGUUUUUGGUCUUGGUCUUGUCACUGAGUUGACCUGUGGAGAUCCAGGGCAGGUUUCAUGGUGAUUUCCUCUGGCAGGUGGGGCGUCUUCAAGUUACUUGGUUACAGUUAUAUUUCUAUAGCACUUUUCUAGACACUCAAAGUGCUUUACACUGGGAGGAGACCACUAGUGUGUAUCCUCCACCUGGAUGAUGGGACAGCAGUCAUAGUGCUCCAGAACUCCCACCACACACCAGCUAUUAGUGGAGAGGAGAGAGUGAUGUAGCCAAUUCAGAGAUGGGGAUUAUUAGGGGGUGAUCAAGAAGGCCAAUGAGGGAAUUUGGGCAGGACACUGGGGUUAUACCCCUACUCUUUUUUUUAAAAUUUAUUUUAUUUUUAUUUAUUUUUAUUUAUGUUUUAUAUUUUUAAUGACCACAGAGAGUCAGGACCUCAGUUUAAUGUCUCAUGCAAAAGACAGUGCCGUUUAUACAGUAGUGUCCCCGUCACUAUAUUGGGGCAUUAGACCCCACACAGACCACAGGGUGAGCCCACCCUGCUGGUCUCACUAUUACCACUUCCAUCAGCAAGCUUAGUUUUCCCCAGGAGGUCUCCCAGUACUGGCCAGGCUCAACCCUGCUUAUCUUCAGUGGGACGCCAGGCAAGAGCUGUAGGGAGAGAUGGCUCUGGUUAUGUAUUUCUGCAUUCAGUGAUGGACUGGGAACCUGUUUUCUCGUAGCUGCCCUAACUGUUUAGGAGGGCGUGCUCCUCAGUGCAGAGGUACGCUUCCAUAUGGAGGCUCUAUUCAAUGACUGUACCCUGUGCUGUGAUUGGCUUGCAGGUUUGGAGGCAGUGUGUUUGAAGUGCCACUGCACUAUGAUAAGCCCGCCUUUGAGAGUGAAACUCGCAUCUAGGAGACCAGCAAAACACACUGUGACUGUAAACACACACACACGCACAUGCGUACAUGUUCACAUACACUAUACAUACAUUUACAGUCACAGGUUUGGAUUUAAAAAUGCAUUUUAUUUAAUUUCUGUGUGUGAGUUAUUUAAUGACCUCAUGCUGUGGUUAAUGGGAGGAAAAUCUCUCUUCUCUUUUAUCUCUGGGGUGUGUGUACUGGAGAAACACACAGUUCACCAGCUCCCUCUGCUGGACAUGUGUUGCAUUACCUCUCUCUUUCUCGCACACACAGUCCGUAUAUACUGAAUUUGCCAUGUGACAGGUGUUCCUGGUUCAGUAUGGGUGGAGCUUAUGUGAAUUUUUUUUCAACUUAAUCAUGUGACAUCCGUUAGCUUUUCUUUCCACUUGUUCAGCUUGAUCAUCUAUUUAAUGCUGUAUAGCGACUGCUGGGUAGGUAACGUUAAUGUUCGCUAUGUUAACUAGUGCUGUGGGUAGGUGACGGGCUAGCACAGCUGAUAUUACUAAACUAUUAUACUGUUUAAUUAUAGGCAGGCUUUUAUGCCCACAAAUACUAAAGAAAUAAAAACAGAAGCUAGUGGUAAUGUUAUACAGUUCAGAUUAUACUUAAGCUCCGCCCUCACUGACUCAGACACGCCUGUCAAUUGGCACAAAAAGCUUGCUAUUUAAAAAAAAAAAAAAAAACACUUGAAAUUAUUCUAAUUUUACUAACUAUUUUACAAAAUAUCAAAAUGUGUCCUUUUACGUGUGUGUGCUUCACAAUGUGGCCUUAUUGGUAUCUUCUGUACUCUAUGAACUACUGAUCUGAGCUGUUAAAUAAGAGGUGUAAUUUUAAUCAAAUUAUAGUGAUAUGAAAAUGUAAACUGUAAGUAAAGUCUCUUUUUAUCAUGAAUGUGUGUGUCCACUUGAUCCCUUGGCAUGAGCGGGGAUAUUUAUCUAGAGUAUCAGUUACUAUACGAAGUCUGUAGUAACAGCAUUUCUCUGAAGAUGAUUUAAUGGAGCUUGUGUUUAGAGUGUAACUUGUACUUUAGUUUUCUUCAUUUUCCCAAAAUUUAACACCAGAUACUUCACAGUACACGAAUACCACAUGGAGAUACAAACUUUAUAGUUGACGUGAGGGUAACACUGUUUACACAAGGGUAACAGGCUUGACACUGAGGUAAUGCUGUUUACACAAGGGUAAUAGGGUUGACACUGAGGUAAUGCUGUUUACACAAAGUAACAGGCUUGACACUGAGGUAACAGGGUUUACGACCUUUAAGUGUAGAGAUCUGAUUAAUUUUAUGUACAUAUGCGUGUUCAUGAAUAAAAAAACGUACUGUCGUGUCUGCUCAACUUUUUUUUGAUGAGGGAUAUGCAAAUUGAAUUUAAAUUCACUAGUCUUACUUAAAUUUCCUAUAUUUACUUGUAGAUUUUAAUUAUAAAUAUAUUUUCUAAUUAUUAUAGUCUCUAUUGUAUCACUGGAGCAAUGGCCCAUAUACACUCAGCUAAUCACGUGACAGCAGCACUGUACAUGAAAUCAUGCAGCUACAGGUCAAUAGCUUUAUUAAUGUUCACAUCAAACAUGUAUUAUUGUGUAUGGGGAGGACCGGGUGGGUGUGAGACCCAGUUUCUGUCCCAAUUUCUGUCCCAGUCUGGCCCGGCUCCUUCAGGAACUACUUUAUCUGAUGUGUAUAUCAGCUGCUUAUUUCUUCUUGGCCUUUACACACAGUAAAGGUUUACUGUGCUGCAGUUCUACAUGUCUUUAUUCUUUUGACCAUUAGGGGGUCUCCAAUGUAAACCCUUGAGAAAUUAAACAUUUUCAACAAAUCUGUAAUAAAGCUGCAACUUUUGGGGUUUUGAGGGUUUUUUUUUUUUUUUUGGAGAGUUUUUUCAGGUUUGGAGGGUUUGAGGGGUUUUUGGACUGUUUUGGCGGGUUUUUUGGGUUUUGAGUUUUUUAGCAUUUCGGAGGGUUUCAGAGGUUUUCUGAGUUUUUUUUUUUAAUUAUUUUUUUUAGGGUUUUGGAGGGCAUUGGAGUGUGAUGAUCAUGGUGACAAUGUUGAUGACGACGAUGAUGAUGAUGAUGAUGAUGAUCAUGAUGACAAUGAUGGUGACGAUGAUGAUGACUAUGACCAUGAUGAUGACAAUGUUGAUGACGUGAUUAUUAUGAUGAUGACGAUGAAGAUGAUGAUGACGGCGACGAUGAUGAUGAUAACGAUGGUGAUGAUGAUGACAAUGACGAUGAUAUGACUGCGAUGAUGGUGACGAUGAUGAUGAUGAUUACGAUGAUGGUGACGACGAUGAUGGUGAUUAUGAUUACGAUGAUGAGAACGAUGACUAUUAUGAUUACGAUGAUGGUGACGACGAUGAUGACGGCGACUAUGAUGAUGACGGCAAUGAGGGUGACAAUGAUGGCAAUGAUGACAAUGACGACGAUGAUGACGAUUAUGAGGACGAUGAUGAUGAUGAUGGUGAUGGUGAUAAUGGUGGUGAUGAUGGUGAUGAUGAUCUGAAGUCUUUAUUUUCUCCUACAGCGUGUAUGAAGCAGUGCUGCACGGAGCAGAUGACGGAAUGUCUGGACUGGAUUAUGGCUGAAUCCAUGCUGAGGGAGGUGUUGACUAAAUUAGAGAUGGUGCUGGACCAACAAACCACUGAGCUUGCUUCAACUACAGGUGUUCCAGGUGCAGUCUUUGGAUACUGAUGAAGAUUUACUGCCCUGCAAGAUCUUCCUCAACUGCAUAGUCUGGAGCAAAGGAUGCAACAGAGCCCAGAUUGCAAGCAAAAACUGGUGAGAAUUUUUUUCUUUUUUUGUUAACAAUUGCUUGCACAAUUACACAGCGACUGAGAGUGUUUGUUUUCUCAAGGUGACACACUCGUACUCAAAGCACAACAUUCAACACCACUUUGAUAUGAGGGAACAGUUAUGACCUAAUCUUUGGUAGAGGAGCAAAACAUGGAAAGCACACAGGGCAGGGUAACUGCAGGAGUAGUGAGAAGCACUGACACAGUUGACAAGGCAAUAAAUGCUUAUUAAUUAUUUAUAUUUUAUAUUAUUUUAUAUUAUAUUAUUGUUUUAAAAAUCAUCGGUUUCGGGUAAACUGGUUGGCGCUUAUUGACAGGGCAGAUGUGCUUGACUGCACCUGGCGCAUAUUGAAGAGGGUGAUUGCUAACUCCCUGGCAAAGAACCUCAAUUGGAGGGGAGUCAAUGGAAAGACUUCACUGGCCACUCUCCAACUUGGAGAGGUCAUGAUUGAAACCUCUUCACGGCUAAAGCUGCAGAGAUGGAGGUCGAGGGGACCAUGAAGAGGUGGCUCCAGCUGGCAUCAGAUCGAGAGUGCGGGCGCAAGAGAAGACUUUUGAAAACUUUUGCAAAAAGAAGGUAUUUAGAGUGUUUUAACUGUGGUGUCUUUGUUAAUUUGUUAAAAUGUUCAUAUUAUAGUCUAUUUUUGAUUGUUUAUAAAAGUCCUUGCUGUUUUUAAGUGGUUGAAAUUGUGUGUGUGUGUGUUGGUAGCUGGGUGGCUAUACAGUUGCGGUCGGAAGUUUACAUACCCCUUGCAGA